rnacentral:rRNA from 1 species
AUGAACGCUGGCGGCGUGCCUAAUACAUGCAAGUCGAGCGAACGGACGAGAAGCUUGCUUCUCUGAUGUUAGCGGCGGACGGGUGAGUAACACGUGGAUAACCUACCUAUAAGACUGGGAUAACUUCGGGAAACCGGAGCUAAUACCGGAUAAUAUUUUGAACCGCAUGGUUCAAAAGUGAAAGACUGUCUUUCUGUCACUUAUAGAUGGAUCCGCGCUGCAUUAGCUAGUUGGUAAGGUAACGGCUUACCAAGGCAACGAUGCAUAGCCGACCUGAGAGGUUGACCGGCCACACUGGAACGGGGAAACGGUCCGGACUCCUACGGGAGGAAGCAGUAGGGAAUCUUCCGCAAUGGGCGAAAGCCUGACGGAGCAACGCCGCGUGAGUGAUGAAGGUCUUCGGAUCGUAAACCUCUGUUAUUAGGGAAGAACAUAUGUGUAAGUAACUGUGCACAUCUUGACGGUACCUAAUCAGAAAGCCACGGCUAACUACGUG